UACGUAGGGGGCAAGCGUUGUCCGGAUUUAUUGGGCGUAAAGAGCGUGUAGGCGGCCAGGUAGGUCCGUUGUGAAAACUAGAGGCUCAACCUCUAGACGUCGAUGGAAACCAUCUGGCUAGAGUCCGGAAGAGGAGAGUGGAAUUCCUGGUGUAGCGGUGAAAUGCGCAGAUAUCAGGAGGAACACCGAUGGCGAAGGCAGGUCUCUGGGCCACUACUGACGCUGAGAAGCGAAAGCGUGGGGAGCGAACAGG
rnacentral:rRNA from 1 species